CUACGGGUUGCAGCAGUGAGGAAUACUGCACAAUGGAGGAAACUCUGAUGCAGCAACGCCGCGUGGAGGAUGACGCAUUUCGGUGUGUAAACUCCUUUUAUGAGUCAAGAAAAUGACGGUAGCUCAUGAAUAAGCACCGGCUAACUCCGUGCCAGCAGCCGCGGUAAUACGGAGGGUGCAAGCGUUACUCGGAAUCACUGGGCGUAAAGGACGCGUAGGCGGGAUAUCAAGUCAGGUGUGAAAUCCUACAGCUUAACUGUAGAACUGCACUUGAAACUGGUAACCUAGAGUAUGGGAGGGGGAGAUGGAAUUAGUGGUGUAGGGGCAAAAUCCGUAGAUAUCACUAGGAAUACCUAAAGCGAAGGCGAUCUCCUGGAACAUAACUGACGCUAAGGCGUGAAAGCGUGGGGAGCAAACAGGAUUAGAUACCCCCGUAGUC
rnacentral:rRNA from 1 species